rnacentral:rRNA from 1 species
ACUCCUACGGGAGGCAGCAGUGGGGAAUAUUGCACAAUGGGGGAAACCCUGAUGCAGCCAUGCCGCGUGUGUGAAGAAGGCCUUCGGUUGUAAAGCACUUUCAGUAGGGAGGAAGGUAGUGUAGUUAACACCUGCAUUAUUUGUACGUUACCUACAGAAGAAGCACCGGCUAACUCCGUGCCAGCAGCCGCGGUAAUACGGAGGGUGCGAGCGUUAAUCGGAAUUACUGGGCGUAAAGCGCAUGCAGGCGGCCUGUUAAGUCAGAUGUGAAAGCCCGGGGCUUAACCUCGGAAUUGCAUUUGAAACUGGCAGGCUAGAGUCUUGUAGAGGGGUAGAAUUUCAGGUGUAGCGGUGAAAUGCGUAGAGAUCUGAAGGAAUACC